AGGGUUGUGGUUCAGUGGUAGAGCACUUGCCUAGCAUGCGUGAGGCACUGAGUUUGAUUCUCAGCACCACAU
rnacentral:tRNA from 1 species